rnacentral:rRNA from 1 species
AAAGGACCGAAAAAGCAUGGCCAAUAUUUUAUACACGCCRUAAUUAAUAAUUUAUGAUUUAACUCAAUAAAUAAUUGUUCUAAUAUUAAGCCCAAUUUAAGAGCA